rnacentral:rRNA from 1 species
AUACGUAGGGGGCGAGCGUUGUCCGGAAUGAUUGGGCGUAAAGGGCGCGUAGGCGGCCCGGUAAGUCUGGAGUGAAAGUCCUGUUUUUAAGAUGGGAAUUGCUUUGGAUACUGUCGGGCUUGAGUGCAGGAGAGGUAAGUGGAAUUCCCAGUGUAGCGGUGAAAUGCGUAGAGAUUGGGAGGAACACCAGUGGCGAAGGCGACUUACUGGACUGUAACUGACGCUGAGGCGCGAAAGUGUGGGGAGCAAACAGGAUUAGAUACCCUGGUAGUCCACACUGUAAACGAUGAAUGCUAGGUGUAGGGGGUAUCGACCCCUUUUGUGCCGGAGUCAACACAAUAAGCAUUCCGCCUGGGGAGUACGGCCGCAAGGUUGAAACUUAAAGGAAUUGGCGGGG